AUUGAACGCUGGCGGCAGGCCUAACACAUGCAAGUCGAGCGGAUGAGUGGAGCUUGCUCCAUGAUUCAGCGGCGGACGGGUGAGUAAUGCCUAGGAAUCUGCCUGGUAGUGGGGGACAAGGUAUCGUAAGGAACGCUAAUACCGCAUACGUCCUACGGGAGAAAGUGGGGGAUCUUCGGACCCCACGCUAUCAGAUGAAUCUAGGUCGGAAUAGCUAGUUGGUGAGGUAAAGGCUCACCAAGGCGACGAUCCGUAACUGGUCUGAGAGGAUGAUCAGUCACACUGGAACUGAGACACGGUCCAGACUCCUACGGGAGGCAGCAGUGGGGAAUAUUGGACAAUGGGCGAAAGCCUGAUCCAGCCAUGCCGCGUGUGUGAAGAAGGUCUUCGGAUUGUAAAGCACUUUAAGUUGGGAGGAAGGGCAGUAAGUUAAUACCUUGCUGUUUUGACGUUACCAACAGAAUAAGCACCGGCUAACUUCGUGCCAGCAGCCGCGGUAAAAC
rnacentral:rRNA from 1 species